CAGCCGCCGCGGUAAUACGUAGGGUGCAAGCGUUAAUCGGAAUUACUGGGCGUAAAGCGUGCGCAGGCGGUUCUAUAAGACAGAUGUGAAAUCCCCGGGCUCAACCUGGGAACUGCAUUUGUGACUGUAGAGCUGGAGUGCGGCAGAGGGGGAUGGAAUUCCGCGUGUAGCAGUGAAAUGCGUAGAUAUGCGGAGGAACACCGAUGGCGAAGGCAAUCCCCUGGGCCUGCACUGACGCUCAUGCACGAAAGCGUGGGGAGCAAACAGGAUUAGAUACCCGAGUAGUCCCUGUCUCUUAUAC
rnacentral:rRNA from 1 species